AAAACAAGCUUUUAAGAGCAGAUGGCGGAUGCCUUGCCAAAGAGAGGCGAUGAAGGACGUACUAGACUGCGAUAAGCUAUGCGGAGCUGUCAAGGAGCUUUGAUGCGUAGAUGUCCGAAUGGGGCAACCCAACUAAUAGAGAUAUUAGUUACUCUAACAGAGAGCGAACCUAGUGAAGUGAAACAUCUCAGUAACUAGAGGAAAAGAAAUCAACGAGAUUCCCUAAGUAGUGGCGAGCGAACGGGGAAAAGGGCAAACCGAGUGCUUGCAUUCGGGGUUGAGGACUGCAACAUCCAAGAAAACGCUUUAGCAGAGUUACCUGGAAAGGUAAGCCAUAGAAAGUGAUAGCCUUGUAUGCGACAAGGCGUUUUCAGGUAGCAGUAUCCAGAGUAGGCCAGGACACGAGAAAUCCAGGUUGAAGCCGGGGAGACCACUCUCCAACCCUAAAUACUACUCUUUGAGCGAUAGCGAACAAGUACCGUGAGGGAAAGGUGAAAAGAACCGCAGUGAGCGGAGUGAAAUAGAACCUGAAACCAUCUGCUUACAAUCAUUCAGAGCCCUAUGAUUUAUCAGGGUGAUGGACUGCCUUUUGCAUAAUGAUCCUGCGAGUUGUGGUAUCUGGCAAGGUUAAGCGAAUGCGAAGCCGUAGCGAAAGCGAGUCUUAAUAGGGCGAACAAGUCAGAUGCUGCAGACCCGAAGCUAAGUGAUCUAUCCAUGGCCAAGUUGAAACGCGUGUAAUAGCGCGUGGAGGACUGAACUCGUACCCAUUGAAACGGGUUGGGAUGAGCUGUGGAUAGGGGUGAAAGGCCAAACAAACUUAGUGAUAGCUGGUUCUCUUCGAAAUAUAUUUAGGUAUAGCCUCAAGUGAUAAUAAAAGGGGGUAGAGCCCUGAUUGGGCUAGGGCUGCUCGCCGCGGUACCAAACCCUAUCAAACUUCGAAUACCUUUUAUCGUAUCUUGGGAGUCAGGCGGUGGGUGAUAAAAUCAAUCGUCAAAAGGGGAACAACCCAGACUACCAAAUAAGGUCCCUAAGUUCUAUUCUGAGUGGAAAAAGAUGUGUGGCUACUCAAACAACCAGGAGGUUGGCUUAGAAGCAGCCAUCCUUUAAAGAAAGCGUAACAGCUCACUGGUCUAGUGGUCAUGCGCUGAAAAUAUAACGGGGCUAAGAUAGACACCGAAUUUGUAGAUUGUGUUUGACACAGUGGUAGAAGAGCGUUCAUACCAGCGUUGAAGGUAUACCGGUAAGGAGUGCUGGAGCGGUAUGAAGUGAGCAUGCAGGAAUGAGUAACGAUAAGAUAUAUGAGAAUUGUAUCCGCCGUAAAUCUAAGGUUUCCUACGCGAUGGUCGUCAUCGUAGGGUUAGUCGGGUCCUAAGCCGAGUCCGAAAGGGGUAGGUGAUGGCAAAUUGGUUAAUAUUCCAAUACCGACUAUGGAGCGUGAUGGGGGGACGCAUAGGGUUAAGCGAGCUAGCUGAUGGAAGCGCUAGUCUAAGGGCGUAGAUUGGAGGGAAGGCAAAUCCACCUCUGUAUUUGAAACCCAAACAGGCUCUUUGAGUCCUUUUAGGACAAAGGGAGAAUCGCUGAUACCGUCGUGCCAAGAAAAGCCUCUAAGCAUAUCCAUAGUCGUCCGUACCGCAAACCGACACAGGUAGAUGAGAUGAGUAUUCUAAGGCGCGUGAAAGAACUCUGGUUAAGGAACUCUGCAAACUAGCACCGUAAGUUCGCGAUAAGGUGUGCCACAGCGAUGUGGUCUCAGCAAAGAGUCCCUCCCGACUGUUUACCAAAAACACAGCACUUUGCCAACUCGUAAGAGGAAGUAUAAGGUGUGACGCCUGCCCGGUGCUCGAAGGUUAAGAGGAUGCGUCAGUCGCAAGAUGAAGCGUUGAAUUGAAGCCCGAGUAAACGGCGGCCGUAACUAUAACGGUCCUAAGGUAGCGAAAUUCCUUGUCGGUUAAAUACCGACCUGCAUGAAUGGCGUAACGAGAUGGGAGCUGUCUCAACCAGAGAUUCAGUGAAAUUGUAGUGGAGGUGAAAAUUCCUCCUACCCGCGGCAAGACGGAAAGACCCCGUGGACCUUUACUACAACUUAGCACUGCUAAUGGGAAUAUCAUGCGCAGGAUAGGUGGGAGGCUUUGAAGUAAGGGCUUUGGCUCUUAUGGAGCCAUCCUUGAGAUACCACCCUUGAUGUUUCUGUUAGCUAACUGGUCUGUGUUAUCCACAGGCAGGACAAUGCUUGGUGGGUAGUUUGACUGGGGCGGUCGCCUCCUAAAAAGUAACGGAGGCUUGCAAAGGUUGGCUCAUUGCGGUUGGAAAUCGCAAGUUGAGUGUAAUGGCACAAGCCAGCCUGACUGUAAGACAUACAAGUCAAGCAGAGACGAAAGUCGGUCAUAGUGAUCCGGUGGUUCUGUGUGGAAGGGCCAUCGCUCAAAGGAUAAAAGGUACCCCGGGGAUAACAGGCUGAUCUCCCCCAAGAGCUCACAUCGACGGGGAGGUUUGGCACCUCGAUGUCGGCUCAUCGCAUCCUGGGGCUGGAGCAGGUCCCAAGGGUAUGGCUGUUCGCCAUUUAAAGCGGUACGCGAGCUGGGUUCAGAACGUCGUGAGACAGUUCGGUCCCUAUCUGCCGUGGGCGUAGGAAAGUUGAGGAGAGCUGUCCCUAGUACGAGAGGACCGGGAUGGACGUGUCACUGGUGUACCAGUUGUUCUGCCAAGAGCAUCGCUGGGUAGCUACACACGGAUGUGAUAACUGCUGAAAGCAUCUAAGCAGGAAGCCAACUCCAAGAUAAACUUUCCCUGAAGCUCGCACAAAGACUAUGUGCUUGAUAGGGUAGAUGUGUAAGCGCAGUAAUGCGUUUAGCUGACUACUACUAAUAGAGCGUUUGGCUUGUUUUUUG
rnacentral:rRNA from 1 species